rnacentral:pre_miRNA from 1 species
CAAAUACUCCCUCCAUCCCAAAAUUCUUGUCUUAGAUUUGUCUAAAUACGGAUGUAUCUAGUUACGUUUUAGUGUUAGAUACAUCCGUAUCUAGACAAAUCUAAGACAAGAAUUUUGGGACGGAGGGAGUACAAG